UGCGGAGGAUCAUUACCGAACCGUCGACACGAGUUGUUGCUGGCCUCUGACCGGAGGCACGUGCACGCUCUGUUUACACAUCCACUCACACCUGUGCACCCUCUAUAGUCCCGUGGCCUGGGUGACUCCGUCCCCUCGCCGUGGUUCUGUAUCUUUACAAACACGCUGUAGUUAAGUCUCGUGGAAUGCACGCCGCGUUUAACGCAACGCAAUACAACUUUCAGCAACGGAUCUCUUGGCUCUCGCAUCGAUGAAGAACGCAGCGAAAUGCGAUAAGUAAUGUGAAUUGCAGAAUUCAGUGAAUCAUCGAAUCUUUGAACGCACCUUGCGCCCUCUGGCUAUUCCGGAGGGCAUGCCUGUUUGAGUAUCAUGAACACCUCAACUCUCGUGGCUUGCUGCGAUGAGCUUGGACUUUGGGGGUCUUGCCGGCCUGCGGUCGGCUCCUCUCAAAUCGAUCAGCUUUCCAGUGUUUGGUGGCGUCACGGGUGUGAUAACCGUCUAUGCUCGUGGUGUUUCCGCCAGGUGUCCUCCAGUGAUGGGGACCUC
rnacentral:rRNA from 1 species